CAGCUAUACAUGCAGUCGAGCGAACGGACGAGAAGCUUGCUUCUCUGAUGUUAGCGGCGGACGGGUGAGUAACACGUGGAUAACCUACCUAUAAGACUGGGAUAACUUCGGGAAACCGGAGCUAAUACCGGAUAAUAUUUUGAACCGCAUGGUUCAAAAGUGAAAGACGGUCUUGCUGUCACUUAUAGAUGGAUCCGCGCUGCAUUAGCUAGUUGGUAAGGUAACGGCUUACCAAGGCAACGAUGCAUAGCCGACCUGAGAGGGUGAUCGGCCACACUGGAACUGAGACACGGUCCAGACUCCUACGGGAGGCAGCAGUAGGGAAUCUUCCGCAAUGGGCGAAAGCCUGACGGAGCAACGCCGCGUGAGUGAUGAAGGUCUUCGGAUCGUAAAACUCUGUUAUUAGGGAAGAACAUAUGUGUAAGUAACUGUGCACAUCUUGACGGUACCUAAUCAGAAAGCCACGGCUAACUACGUGCCAGCAGCCGCGGUAAUACGUAGGUGGCAAGCGUUAUCCGGAAUUAUUGGGCGUAAAGCGCGCGUAGGCGGUUUUUUAAGUCUGAUGUGAAAGCCCACGGCUCAACCGUGGAGGGUCAUUGGAAACUGGAAAACUUGAGUGCAGAAGAGGAAAGUGGAAUUCCAUGUGUAGCGGUGAAAUGCGCAGAGAUAUGGAGGAACACCAGUGGCGAAGGCGACUUUCUGGUCUGUAACUGACGCUGAUGUGCGAAAGCGUGGGGAUCAAACAGGAUUAGAUACCCUGGUAGUCCACGCCGUAAACGAUGAGUGCUAAGUGUUAGGGGGUUUCCGCCCCUUAGUGCUGCAGCUAACGCAUUAAGCACUCCGCCUGGGGAGUACGACCGCAAGGUUGAAACUCAAAGGAAUUGACGGGGACCCGCACAAGCGGUGGAGCAUGUGGUUUAAUUCGAAGCAACGCGAAGAACCUUACCAAAUCUUGACAUCCUUUGACAACUCUAGAGAUAGAGCUUUCCCCUUCGGGGGACAAAGUGACAGGUGGUGCAUGGUUGUCGUCAGCUCGUGUCGUGAGAUGUUGGGUUAAGUCCCGCAACGAGCGCAACCCUUAAGCUUAGUUGCCAUCAUUAAGUUGGGCACUCUAAGUUGACUGCCGGUGACAAACCGGAGGAAGGUGGGGAUGACGUCAAAUCAUCAUGCCCCUUAUGAUUUGGGCUACACACSUGCUACAAUGGACAAUACAAAGGGCAGCGAAACCGCGAGGUCAAGCAAAUCCCAUAAAGUUGUUCUCAGUYCGGAUUGUAGUCUGCAACUCGAMUACAUGAAGCUGGAAUCGCUAGUAAUCGUAGAUCAGCAUGCUACGGUGAAUACKUUCCCGGGUCUUGUACACACCGCCCGUCACACCACGAGAGUUUGUAACACCCGAAGCCGGUGGAGUAACCUUUUAGGAGCUAGCCGUCGAA
rnacentral:rRNA from 1 species